CUCUCUCUCUCUUUCUUCUCUCUUAUCACUUUCUUCUCUCCCUCUUGCCUUCAUCCCCCCCCCUCUCUCUCUCUCUUCCUCACUCCCUACCUCUGUCUUUUCUUUUUAACCUCUCCAUCGUGGGCUUUCUUUCUCUCUAUUCAGCUCUUUUUUUUCCAACUCAUCUCAUUGACUUUCCUUUAUUUGCAUGCUAUCUUUCUUUACUCUCUAUCUUUGGCUUCCAUUCCGAGGCCUCCCUCCCUCUCUCCAUCCCUCCCUCACUCCCUCCCUCUCUCCCUCUUUCUGUAAAGAUCUUCUUUUCCUGGAAAUCUCUAAAGGGAGCUCAGCCAGUGUGGCUCCCAGCAGGAUACCAUUCGGCACUGAGAGAGAGUGAGGAAGAGAGAGAGAGAGACAGAGAGAGAGAGAAACAGUUAGAGAGAGGGUGGGAGAGUGUGAUAGAGAGAGAGAGAAAGAGGGAAAUAGAGGGUUUAAAAUUGCGUUUUGCACCAAUCAGGGUUGGCGUUGCUGCACGGCCCCAGAGCCUGCAGGGUUGUGGAGUGAUGGGAUUGAGUGGCGUGUGUGUGUGUGAUGCAAAUGUUGCCCUUGUUUCAUCACAACCAGGGCUGGGUGCUGACACAUGCACCCCACACAUAUGUUAUAGACACACACACAGGGCCCGGUGUAUGCACACACACACACACACACACACACACACACACUUGCAUACUCACACAGUGAGGAAUGUGUUGGUAUCCAGCUCGGACAGGACGUUCCGGGUUGGCGUUCCUUCCGUGCGUCGAGAUGGAAAAGAUUCCGCAGCUCAGGAUGCCGGCGCUCAAGGAUUUAGACUUUUAGUCCUCAGUCAGCCAUCAGCUGACUAACCAGAACACACACACGCACACACACACACAUGAACACACACACACACACACAUGAACACACACACACACACACACACACACACACACACACAAACACACACACACAGGGAACGCUGAAUCGUGUUUUGUAACGGAAGGAAGUACCACACACACACACACACACACACACACACACACACACACACACACACACACACACACCGGUUAGGCUAUUUUCAGUCUAUUUGGAUAAAAACUAGCUUGUGUUUUAGCCAUAUGCAUGAAUGAAAUUUACAGAGACAUAUACAAGUAUAAAACCAGCCCUUGUCCAGCACUGCAGUGGUUAAUGAACUGGAGUUGGG
rnacentral:lncRNA from 1 species